rnacentral:precursor_RNA from 10 species
ACCACCGAAACAACAUGGCCGUGACCACAAUGAGGUAGUAGGUUAUGCAGUUAUAGCCUCCCUUUUAUACUGAGUGGAGCACAGGAGAUACUGUGUAACCUUCUGCCUUUGUGGCUUCGUGUUUCUAUCAUCAGCUCCCAC